UACAGAGGGUGCUAGCGUUGUUCGGAAUUACUGGGCGUAAAGGGCGCGUAGGCGGUUUGUUAAGUCAAACGUGAAAGCCCCAGGCUUAACCUGGGAUGUGCGUUUGAUACUGGCAAGCUAGAGAACGGUAGAGGAAAGUGGAAUUCCUAGUGUAGAGGUGAAAUUCGUAGAUAUUAGGAGGAACACCAGAGGCGAAGGCGGCUUUCUGGACCGGUUCUGAGGCUGAGGCGCGAAAGCGUGGGGAGCAAAUGGG
rnacentral:rRNA from 1 species